AUUGAACGCUGGCGGCAUGCUUUACACAUGCAAGUCGAACGGUAACAGGCCGCAAGGUGCUGACGAGUGGCGAACGGGUGAGUAAUGCAUCGGAACGUGCCCAGUCGUGGGGGAUAACUGCUCGAAAGAGCAGCUAAUACCGCAUACGAUCUAUGGACGAAAGCGGGGGACCGUAAGGCCUCGCGCGAUUGGAGCGGCCGAUGUCAGAUUAGGUAGUUGGUGGGGUAAAGGCUCACCAAGCCAACGAUCUGUAGCUGGUCUGAGAGGACGACCAGCCACACUGGGACUGAGACACGGCCCAGACUCCUACGGGAGGCAGCAGUGGGGAAAUUUGGACAAUGGGGGCAGCCCUGAUCCAGCAAUGCCGCGUGCAGGAAGAAGGCCUUCGGGUUGUAAACUGCUUUUGUACGGAACGAAACGGUCUGGGUUAAUACCCUGGGCUAAUGACGGUACCGUACGAAUAAGCACCGGCUAACUACGUGCCAGCAGCCGCAGUAAAAC
rnacentral:rRNA from 1 species